rnacentral:lncRNA from 1 species
CAACCAAAUCACAGAUAUAGUGAACAGAUAAGUCAACUCUACUCCUAAGCAUGAUAUCAACAUGGAAAUAACUGAGUAGAGGAAUGCAGAACAGACCAACUAGGUCAACAGAUACGGAAUGCACAACAGACCAACUAGGUCAACAGAUACGGAAUGCACAGCAGACCAACUAGGUCAACAGAUACAGAAUGCACAGCAGACCAACUAGGUCAACAGAUACAGAUGCGGAUAGAACUACUCUACUCCUACUCAGGAUACUAAGCAUGCAAACAACGAGUAGAGUAUAAUCAAACAAC